GAGGAAUUAGUUAAAAAUAAUACAAGCUUGUCAAGCUUGAGUUACUACUUAAGUAGUAUUCUUCA
rnacentral:tRNA from 1 species